ACGAAAGCUCACGAGAAGGCCCCUGUGUGACCCACCACACGCUAUGAGUGGAUGAGCUCUUAAGGAGGAAAAUAGACCGUGGUUGCCGUAGCUUACAUUUGGACAGUUUUCUCGGUGGAUUCAUUCCUACUACUCAUACACUGAUUUAAGUUGAUGUGAAGUGAAGCUGGUGACAGCCUGAAGCUCAAAAUCUGGCAAAGAGCGAGCAAGGGACGGUGAGCUGACCAUCAGUGACAUAUUUGAGCAGUCUCUUCAGAAUUCCAUUCAACUU
rnacentral:lncRNA from 1 species